UUGAAACUGGAGCAGCAGCAUGGCCAGGUGGACUGGGGACAGCAAGGAGUCAUCAUGUCAGGUAGUCCUGGGGCAUGGUCCUAGGGCUCAGGUCCUCCGAGAGAGAGAAAGAAAGAAGGAGAGAAUUAGAGAACGCACACUUAGAUUCACACAGGACACCGAAUUAGGACAGGAGAAGUACUCCAGAUA